UACGAAGGGGGCUAGCGUUGCUCGGAAUCACUGGGCGUAAAGGGUGCGUAGGCGGGUCUUUAAGUCAGGGGUGAAAUCCUGGAGCUCAACUCCAGAACUGCCUUUGAUACUGAAGAUCUUGAGUCCGGGAGAGGUGAGUGGAACUGCGAGUGUAGAGGUGAAAUUCGUAGAUAUUCGCAAGAACACCAGUGGCGAAGGCGGCUCACUGGUCCGGUUCUGACGCUGAGGCGCGAAAGCGUGGGGAGCAAACAGG
rnacentral:rRNA from 1 species